UGGGUGUGAAGAGAGCAGAGCGCCUGAAGAAUGGCUCCUCUGUGAAUAACACAUCCAACAGCAACUCGGGCUUAUUCUGAACAAGGGGCAGGAUGCUAGGACUUUCUGUGACAGCCCUACACAU